GCUCAGUUGGUUGAAGGUAUGACUCUUGAUUUUGGCUCAGGUCAUGAUCCCAGGAUCAUGGGAUCGAGUCCCACAUUAGGCU
rnacentral:tRNA from 1 species